UUCGACCCGAACUCAGACGUGACA
rnacentral:rRNA from 1 species